UGCGCUGCUGCACACACACACACCGUGUAUCCUGUGUGUAAAUGUUUUGCUGAGAUAAAAAGCGUCCCGCAUUUUACAAUUCCGGAGAUUGCUGAAGCAAGCAAGCAGCAAUAUCACAUGACCACCGUGGGGCAUGUCUGUUUGACCUACUUUUAACCAAAACAAGUAGGCAUGGGCGAACAUGGCGGAUUUGGCUCUCCCAUCAGCGGAAAAGAAAAGGAAAGCCUGCCUAGUGAGUGCAACUGCAAGAUAGAGCAAGGGCCGUACUGUUUACCUCAAGACGGAGGAAAACAUCCCAAAACGGAGAAACGCAACCCUCAGGACAUCAAAAUGAUCACAUCUAUUCUGCAUGAUAUUGUUCUUGCGAGACAGAGGAAAAUGCCACGCACAACAAAAAAUUUAAAAAUUUUAGAUGAUUUUGCAGUUAGCACCUUUUAAAUGUGAAAACAAAUAAUACAGAGAGAAACUAUUUAAAAUGAUACCAAGAUCGAGUUUAUAGGUUGAAAAAUAACAAAAACAGUGGUAAUUUGAAA